CUCCGCGUUCAAAUCCCAAAACUGCCCCCCCCCCGGCUGGGUGACCCUGGGCCCCUCCCUCAGGUCCCUCGUGGAAAGAUAAGGAUGCGUGAGUGUUGUGCGGAGCCGACAGAGCCGCACGCUAGACACUGCCAGACCCGCACCGCUUCUCCCCUGCUUAAAGUGACCCAUGAAACGGCGGCAGGGCCACUGCCGUCGGCGGUGAGGGGUGGGGAGGAGAGCAGGCUCCGGCUCCCCCCUCCUCACCCCGGCUGCCUCCAGGAAGCCCUAAGAUGCUCCUUAUUAUCUUGGAGCAGGGACGGCCUCGCUGAGCGCGAGCCUGCAUCCGAACACCGGGAAGGAAAAGAAGGGGCAGUCUGACGCGACCAAGGGACCGGGGAGGAAGCCAGAGGAGCGGGCACGCCGCAGCGGCAGCGGCGCCGGCCGAGGCCCGCAGUCCCCGGCCCCCCGGCCCCCCGGCCCCCCGGCUCCAGCCGGCCCGCCGCGAGACCAGGGCUGACCACCAGGGGGCGGUGCGGCCCUGCUUUGCGGGCGGGGCCUUCCCGGAGCGUCUCAGACCUCCGGGCUCGCAGCGGCGACAGAAAACGGCGCGCGCGUCAGUCAGGCAAACCCCCGCGUCGUAUCUGACGGGCACUUCCAGGUGAAUCCAAAGAACUCCCUUUCUCCGGAAAUCCCCUCAGAAGCCACCCCGCAGCGUGCUCGCGUGCCUCCAUCAUCGUGAAAGCCGAGUUAACCGCGGCUCCCUGCAACCCCUGUUAACCGCGGCGAUCCCGCAGCCCCGUGACGUCAUGCUGCCGGUCCCCCGACGGCCGAGGGGCAGCUCCUUCCCACUGCCUUUGGCACUCGGCAGUCGCUUCCAUCUUGUCGGUCACAUGGUUGAAGAACUGAAUUUAGAAAUGAAACGGCAUUGGCAACGCAAGCCCAGGCUCAGCGCCUGACGAUUAGCCGCGGCGUCUCCGCCCAUCGCACGCCCUCUAGCGGCCACAGCGAGGCCUGGCCGUCUGCGGCACCUUUGACCUUUGACCCUUGACCCGGCACAAGUGGGCUUCAUUUAUCAAAAGAACUGGGACCGUCUCCAGGCGCUGCCCAGCUCUCGGCUUGCUCUGGGAGUUGCUUCGCAGUAAUGUCUCUUCUCCAGCGGGUUUACCUGACUUUGGAGAGAAGAAGAGUUCCGGUCCGCACAAGACGGCCAGGUCUAUUUUUAACCAACUGGCCAAAGACGCAGGAUUCCUGGGGUGGACAUCCAGGUUCCCCCUGAUGAAGUCCUGGGGACAGGAAGUGCGAGCCUCUGCACCCCCCCAGCCCCAGCCCUGCAUCUGGCCCCAGAGGCACCCAGAAUCCGGGCAGCAAACAGGAAGAAGCACUUCUGUGUCAACGUCAGAAGCAGUUUCUGCCUGAGGGUCACUUCUGAGUCCAUCUCCACUGUGGCCACCGUCACAUGGCGCAUGGAGGCCUCUUGAGAAUUGUGCUCCACACCCUGUGAACCUCACUGAAAGUCAUUCUUCACAGGCACGCCCGCCCGGAGGAAAAUCCUGCCAAGUCUGUGAGCCCAAUGAGGACCUCAUGUUUAUCUUCAAAGGCUAAAAGAUAAGUAGAUAUUGCAUUUUGCCACACACUCCUCCCUAGGGAGGGGCAUUAAGGCUGAGGCUCUUUCCAGCUGACACCUUUUCCUACUCGUUGUCCUGAGAAGCUACUAUUGGCGGGAACAGCCCCCUGUAAACUUUUCCACCAUAAUGAGAGAAACUCUUACUACAUACCAUGAAGUUGUUUUAAGAAACCUGUCUGUUGGCGUGGGGGACUUGGCCCAGGAAGCACACAAACUACUCCUGUCUUUAGAUUCCCAAGCUAAAGUGUUCAUGAGCCACCUACAAGCCCUAGAUCACCUGCUGACAGGACAAGAUGGAAAUGUGGAGUGAGCGAUAAAGCUUGCCAGGCUUAUGUUCACAACAGUGGGCUGAUAGACAAAGAUAGCCAAAGGCUCUAUGCUCAAGCCAAGUGGUCCCACGAUUUUGGUAAGGGAAGUCCCCCCAGCUUCCACCAUCUGGGAAAAAGUGCUCUCCUUCUCAGGCAUGGCUCUUACUCUUGGUCCUUCUUUGCCUGAUUGUCAAAUCUGUCUCCUCUAGAAUUUGGUUUCUUGCAGAAAUGCUGAUGAAGCAGGCAUUCCACCCUUUGCCAAUGAGUGGUGUGGAACCUCUAGCUCCAUACAUGGUCCCUCUAGAUCAGAGAGCAAGGGAUUUUUGUUCCCUUGCACGAACAACGCCCUGACACAGCAGAAAGGAGUUACAGAAUAAUGAACAUCACUCCUCAACCUCCCCUAAAGAGUAAAGAACAAAAAUCUAAGGGUGGAGACGACGUAUGCGGGGAGGCAGUGAGGAGCCGAGGGCUGCCAGCGUCCGCAGGACAGCCCUGCAGGCACCGCCCCAAACCCCGCCCCCUUCCAUGUAGCUGUUGGGCUGGUGCCCGCCAGAAAUAUCCAACGUGGCUGCAGGCUCUGCACACCGACGGCCUUCAUGCAACUGAACGGUUAAAAUUGCAUUGUUGGCCGGCGCCGCGGCUCA